CAUUCUUUACCAUUCUUCAUAACGUCCGCUUCAACUUCACGAGGAUCAUAUUUUGGUUUCAUUUCCAUUUGCUAUACCUCCUAAAAAAAUAAAAAUAUCCAUCCUAUAUACAAAUAGGACGGAUAUUCCGUGGUACCACCUAUAUUCAAGAAGGAUGAUUAAUAUCAAAUUCACUCUUUUAACAUAAUUGGAAUAAUCAUACCAAUACUAUCAUCGUGAAAUUUGAAAUGCUUCAUCUCUUCAAGCACUCUAGAUUAUGAUUAACGCUCAAACACGU
rnacentral:sRNA from 1 species